GAGUUGUGUUGAGUUUUUGUUAGUUCUUGCAAUAUGUAGAACUCAAAUUCGAGGGAAAGGAAGAUUUAGAUGAUAAUGAUUUGUUCCAGAGAUAUAAGUAGAAGUGAGCAGAUUUUGGUUUAAAUUGAAAACCUGAACCGAACCGAACCAAGUCAAUUCAGUUUAGUUUUAAAAUUCAAUCAAUUCAAUUUGGUUUUUAAAUUUUAAUAAUUUCGGUUAAUCGGUUUGGUUAGGUUAUUUUCAUAAAAAAUGAAAAAAAACCGAACCGAACCAAAA
rnacentral:misc_RNA from 1 species